rnacentral:rRNA from 1 species
AAUAGAUACCCGGGUAGUCCACGCCGUAAACGAUGAGCGCUAAGUGUUGGGGGGUUUCCGCCCCUCAGUGCUGCAGCUAACGCAUUAAGCACUCCGCCUGGGGAGUACGGUCGCAAGACUGAAACUCAAAGGAAUUGACGGGGGCCCGCACAAGCGGUGGAGCAUGUGGUUUAAUUCGAAGCAACGCGAAGAACCUUACCAGGUCUUGACAUCCCGGUGACCACUGUGGAGACAUAGUUUCCCCUUCGGGGGCAACGGUGACAGGUGGUGCAUGGUUGUCGUCAGCUCGUGUCGUGAGAUGUUGGGUUAAGUCCCGCAACGAGCGCAACCCUUAUUCUUAGUUGCCAUCAUUCAGUUGGGCACUCUAAGGAGACUGCCGGUGAUAAACCGGAGGAAGGUGGGGAUGACGUCAAAUCAUCAUGCCCCUUAUGACCUGGGCUACACACGUGCUACAAUGGACGGUACAAACGGUUGCCAACCCGCGAGGGGAGCUAAUCCGAUAAAACCGUUCUCAGUUCGGAUUGUAGGCUGCAACUCGCCUACA